rnacentral:rRNA from 1 species
CCUACGGGCGGCAGCAGUGAGGAAUAUUGGUCAAUGGACGAAAGUCUGAACCAGCCAAGUAGCGUGAAGGAUGACUGCCCUAUGGGUGGUAAACAUCUUUUAUAUGGGAAUAAAACAGGGUAUGCAUACCCUCUUGUAUGUACCAUAUGAAUAAGGAUCGGCUAACUCCGUGCCAGCAGCCGCGGUAAUACGGAGGGGCCGAGGGUUAUCCGGAUUUAUUGGGCUUAAAGGGAACGUAGGUGGAUUGUUAAGUCAGUUGUGAAAGGUUGCGGCUCAACCGUAAAAGUGCAGUUGAAACUGGCAGUCUUGAGUACAGUAGAGGUGGGUAGAAUUCGUGGUGUAGCGGUGAAAUGCUUAGAGAUCACGAAGAACUCCGAUUGCGAAGGCAGCUCACUGGACUGCAACUGACACUGAUGUUCGAAAGUGUGGGUAUCAAACAGGAUUAGAUACCCUUGUAGUC